rnacentral:piRNA from 1 species
UCCACACACCGCAGAACAUUCCUCAUCU